CCGCUGCUGAAGAGUCCCAAACUAGGAUGAAACAGCUGUCCAGUAC
rnacentral:hammerhead_ribozyme from 1 species